GCUAAUACCGCAUACGCCCUACGGGGGAAAGCGGGGGAUCUUCGGACCUCGCGCUAUUAGAUGAGCCUGCGUCGGAUUAGCUUGUUGGUGAGGUAAUGGCUCACCAAGGCGACGAUCCGUAGCUGGUCUGAGAGGACGAUCAGCCACACUGGGACUGAGACACGGCCCAGACUCCUACGGGAGGCAGCAGUGGGGAAUAUUGGACAAUGGGCGCAAGCCUGAUCCAGCAAUACCGC
rnacentral:rRNA from 1 species